CCUACGGGAGGCAGCAGUGGGGAAUUUUGGACAAUGGGCGCAAGCCUGAUCCAGCCAUGCCGCGUGCAGGAUGAAGGCCUUCGGGUUGUAAACUGCUUUUGUACGGAACGAAAAGACUCUGGUUAAUACCUGGGGUCCAUGACGGUACCGUAAGAAUAAGCACCGGCUAACUACGUGCCAGCAGCCGCGGUAAUACGUAGGGUGCGAGCGUUAAUCGGAAUUACUGGGCGUAAAGCGUGCGCAGGCGGUUAUAUAAGACAGAUGUGAAAUCCCCGGGCUCAACCUGGGAACUGCAUUUGUGACUGUAUAGCUAGAGUACGGCAGAGGGGGAUGGAAUUCCGCGUGUAGCAGUGAAAUGCGUAGAUAUGCGGAGGAACACCGAUGGCGAAGGCAAUCCCCUGGGCCUGUACUGACGCUCAUGCACGAAAGCGUGGGGAGCAAACAGGAUUAGAUACCCUGGUAGUCCACGCCCUAAACGAUGUCAACUGGUUGUUGGGUCUUCACUGACUCAGUAACGAAGCUAACGCGUGAAGUUGACCGCCUGGGGNGGACGGCCGCGAGUAGUAACGACGAAGAAGUUAGACGGCGUGAGACGUGCCGACGGACGACGACGAGGGAGGAGG
rnacentral:rRNA from 1 species